rfam:Populus trichocarpa scaffold_12_contig_138, whole genome shotgun sequence.
UCUAGAACUCGAGAUAUGGGCUGAACACUGAAUAGUAUCUGGGCUGCAGAACAGAUUCCGACUUCUCCGUUGUUGCUACCAUUUGAACUCGUAAAUGACACUUUUAAAUCUUGGACUCUUCAUGAAAGUUUUAGGCCUAUGUCUUAGCUUUCCAUA